CAGCCGCCGCGGUAAUACGAAGGGGGCUAGCGUUGUUCGGAAUCACUGGGCGUAAAGGGUGCGUAGGCGGAUUCUUAAGUCAGGGGUGAAAUCCCGAGGCUCAACCUCGGAACUGCCUUUGAUACUGGGGAUCUUGAGUCCGGAAGAGGUGAGUGGAACUGCGAGUGUAGAGGUGAAAUUCGUAGAUAUUCGCAAGAACACCGGUGGCGAAGGCGGCUCACUGGUCCGGAACUGACGCUGAGGCACGACAGCGUGGGGAGCAAACAGGAUUAGAUACCCGAGUAGUCCCUGUCUCUUAUAA
rnacentral:rRNA from 1 species